rnacentral:rRNA from 1 species
GUGGGGAAUCUUGCGCAAUGGGCGAAAGCCUGACGCAGCCAUGCCGCGUGAAUGAUGAAGGUCUUAGGAUUGUAAAAUUCUUUCACCGGGGACGAUAAUGACGGUACCCGGAGAAGAAGCCCCGGCUAACUUCGUGCCAGCAGCCGCGGUAAUACGAAGGGGGCUAGCGUUGCUCGGAAUUACUGGGCGUAAAGGGCGCGUAGGCGGACAGUUUAGUCAGAGGUGAAAGCCCAGGGCUCAACCUUGGAAUUGCCUUUGAUACUGGCUGUCUUGAGUACGGGAGAGGUGAGUGGAACUCCGAGUGUAGAGGUGAAAUUCGUAGAUAUUCGGAAGAACACCAGUGGCGAAGGCGACUCACUGGCCCGUUACUGACGCUGAGGCGCGAAAGCGUGGGGAGCUAACAGGAUUAGAAACCCGAGUAGUCC